ensembl:snoRNA
GAGUGAUAUGAUGGCAUACCAUCUUUCGGGACUGACUCUUGAAAUGGAGACUUCCUUUUUAUUUUACUGAUCACUC